AGACGAGCAAUGGCGGGAAGGAUUAUGUCUCG
rnacentral:scRNA from 1 species